CAGCAGCCGCGGUAAUACAGGGGGGGCAAGCGUUGUUCGGAAUUACUGGGCGUAAAGGGCUCGUAGGCGGCCCGCUAAGUCCGACGUGAAAUCCCCAAGCUUAACUUGGGAACUGCGUCGGAUACUGGCGGGCUUGAAUCCGGGAGAGGGAUGCGGAAUUCCAGGUGUAGCGGUGAAAUGCGUAGAUAUCUGGAGGUACACCGGUGGCGAAGGCGGCAUCCUGGACCGGUAUUGACGCUGAACAGCGAAAGCCAGGGGAGCAAACGGGAUUAGAUACCCCGGUAGUCCUGGCCCUAAACGAUGAAUGUUUGGUGUGGCGGGUAUCGAUCCCUGCCGUGCCGAAGCUAACGCAUUAAACAUUCCGCCUGGGGAGUACGGUCGCAAGGCUGAAACUCAAAUGAAUUGACGG
rnacentral:rRNA from 1 species